CAGGCCCACGGUCUGUUCUCGCCGCUACUGCUGCAGAGCCGAGCCCUCGCUGAGCGCACGGGAUCCACCUGGCAGCAGGAAGGAGCCGAACUCGCCACGGGAGCAGCAGCCCCUGCGAGAGCUGCACGACCCACCUCACCCGCGAGCGGGCCGGGCACCAAGGAGCGUGCCAGCUCCCCGGACGCCGGCCCGUCGAGGCACCUUCUCCACGCCAGGACGCGCCGAGGUGCUCAGGAGCGGGCCCCGUGCCACCACAGCAGGUCCGACGCGGCGGGCACCACGCUGCUGGGGUGCACGGUGCUCGCUGUCUCCCCUGCACCGUGGCUUCCCCACCUGGCACGGCGCUGGGGGCUCCCCUCGCUGCCCCGAGGGAGGGAUAAAAGCGUGGGGAGCCCGCUCUGGGGCACGGCUGGGGUCUGCCGCGGGGCGAGCCAAGCCCGGCGGCGGGGCCCCCAGCAGAAGGCAGGCUGGACCGCAGCAAACUUUCCGGGUGGGCGAGGAGGGCAGCCUCCACCGAGCCCACGGAGCGGGGUCUCCGCCUCUCCCUCCUCCAGGCAGCGCACAGCCGGCCCCGCACACCUCCCCUCCUCCACCGCCGCCCCAAAAUCGCCUCCCGGGCGGCGGGCCGGGGGGGGGGGGGGGCCCCCACCUCCCCCCGGGCGGGCGGCACUAGCGCGGCGCGCCCGCGGCGGCCCGCAUCGCCGCCGCGCUGGGCCGGACCGGGCCCGCCCGGCUGCGGGCGGCGGCGGCGCCUCCCCGCUCAGCUCCUGCCGCCGCCUCCUCUUCUUCCUCCUCCUCCUCCUCCUGCGCCCGGCCCCGCCGCCUCCAUUUCCUCCCGCCGCCGGCAAGCCCCGGCCCCGCCGCGGGGAUGGGGAGGAAGGCGGAGGCCGGCUCGGCCCCGCUCCGAGGAGCCGCAGCGCCGCUCCCGGCCGCCCCGGGGCGGAGGCAGCAGGGAGGGACGGAUGCGCCGCUCGCCUCGCCCCGCCUCGCCUGGCCCCGGCGGGCUCCGGGCGCCGCGGCCUGGUGGCUCGGCCCGGCCGGCUUUCGGCGCUCGCAGGGCGGUCGGGGCUCGUCCCCGGGGCCCUAAAGCCGACAGGCAGGUGGGCUGGCGUGUAUUUACCAAUCUGGUCUUCAGAAAGGGUCUUGGACGCGCCUCUAGCGGUCGCGUCUCAAAACAGGCAGCUGAAAAUAGGACCUCUGCGCGCCCGCAGGGCUUCACUACCCCCGAGUGCCAUCAAAACACCGAGGGGGCCAGGCCUUCUGAAGGAAGCGGUGGUACCGGAGCAAAGCCACCUCGUUUGGUGCUCCUUGGAUACUCAUGCACCUUCCAGUGUGAAAUCAUGGCAUGACACCAAGGACAGGCCCCAAGAGACGUGCUCCUGCUAUCUGACCCAGCACAAAAGCGGUCAUGUCCCCUCCGUCCAGUCAAAUAAGAAUCGAUUUGUCUGCUGGGAACUGGUAAACGAAAUGAGGGACACACGGAAACCCCAUCUUUAA
rnacentral:lncRNA from 1 species